rnacentral:rRNA from 1 species
GGCGGACGGGUGAGUAAUGCUUAGGAAUCUGCCUAUUAGUGGGGGACAACAUUCCGAAAGGAAUGCUAAUACCGCAUACGCCCUACGGGGGAAAGCAGGGGAUCUUCGGACCUUGCGCUAAUAGAUGAGCCUAAGUCAGAUUAGCUAGUUGGUGGGGUAAAGGCCUACCAAGGCGACGAUCUGUAGCGGGUCUGAGAGGAUGAUCCGCCACACUGGGACUGAGACACGGCCCAGACUCCUACGGGAGGCAGCAGUGGGGAAUAUUGGACAAUGGGCGCAAGCCUGAUCCAGCCAUGCCGCGUGUGUGAAGAAGGCCUUUUGGUUGUAAAGCACUUUAAGCGAGGAGGAGGCUACUUGGAUUAAUACUCUAGGAUAGUGGACGUUACUCGCAGAAUAAGCACCGGCUAACUCUGUGCCAGCAGCCGCGGUAAUACAGAGGGUGCGAGCGUUAAUCGGAUUUACUGGGCGUAAAGCGUGCGUAGGCGGCUUUUUAAGUCGGAUGUGAAAUCCCUGAGCUUAACUUAGGAAUUGCAUUCGAUACUGGGAAGCUAGAGUAUGGGAGAGGAUGGUAGAAUUCCAGGUGUAGCGGUGAAAUGCGUAGAGAUCUGGAGGAAUACCGAUGGCGAAGGCAGCCAUCUGGC